rnacentral:rRNA from 1 species
AGAGUUUGAUCCUGGCUCAGAACGAACGCUGGCGGCGUGGAUAAGACAUGCAAGUCGAGCGGGAUUUUCUUUGGUAGCAAUACUGAGGAAAGUCUAGCGGCGAACGGGUGCGUAACACGUGGGCAAUUUGCCUUAAAGUGGGGGAUAGCUCGGCGAAAGCCGAAUUAAUACCGCAUGUGAUGAGGGAAGACAUCUUUCCGAAAUCAAAGCCGGGGCAACCUGGCGCUUUUUGAGAAGCCCGCGGCCUAUCAGCUUGUUGGUGAGGUAACGGCUCACCAAGGCGAUGACGGGUAGCUGGUCUGAGAGGACGACCAGUCACACUGGAACUGAGACACGGUCCAGACACCUACGGGUGGCAGCAGUCGAGAAUUUUUGACAAUGGGGGAAACCCUGAUCGAGCGACGCCGCGUGGAGGAUGAAGGUCUUCGGGUUGUAAACUCCUGUCAUUUGAGAACAAGGCGCAUGUAUUAACUGUACCUGCGUUGAUAGUAUCAGAAGAGGAAGGGACGGCUAACUCUGUGCCAGCAGCCGCGGUAAUACAGAGGUCUCAAGCGUUGUUCGGAUUCAUUGGGCGUAAAGGGUGUGUAGGUGGCGCCGUAAGUCGGGUGUGAAAUCUCGGGGCUUAACUCCGAAACUGCAUUCGAUACUGCGGUGCUUGAGGACUGGAGAGGAGACUGGAAUUCAUGGUGUAGCAGUGAAAUGCGUAGAGAUCAUGAGGAAGACCAGUGGCGAAGGCGGGUCUCUGGACAGUUCCUGACACUGAGACACGAAAGCCAGGGGAGCAAACGGGAUUAGAUACCCCGGUAGUCC